CAGCUCAAAGCUCUUUCCAAUUGGCCCCUCUGACCGAGCAGCAGAUGAAGAAACUGAGGCCCAGGGAGGAGUGCUUGCUUGUCCUGAUUUUCAUGGCUGAAGCUGCUAGUUCUUUCCACCACAAAGGGCAUGGAUUCUGCUGGAAGGCAAAACUUCCCAAGUAGAAAACUGCCGGUGAACUGGCUCCACCAGGGGCAGCUCCUCUCCUGCUGGGAGGAUGCAGGAGGGUCUCAGCACCCUGGACAGCAGGCUCCCAUCCUCUAAGCAGGAGAGCGCCUCUCCUCCCAACUCCCUGCGCCCCCUGGGCUCCUGUGUCCUGUUGAAAACUCACCCCUCUCCAAAGGCCCAGUUGUUCAGCCCUAUUACCAUCCUCCUCCACCAACCCCACCGUUGGACUGUCCCUAGAAAUGUAAAGCCACACACUUCUGGGUUCAAGUUGGGCUCUGCUACUGACUGCAUAUGAGACCUGCAUGAGUUCCUUAACCUCUCCAAGCCUUAAGGUCUUCAUUUAUAAAGUGAAAAAGGGAGCGCCUACCAAGUACAAGACACCGUGUUUGGGAAAAUACCAGACAACCACCCUUGCCCCGGGACCUUACAUUCUAGUGGAGGCCGACUUUAACAAAUAAACAAGCAAAAUACACAGUAUGUCAGGUGGUCUAAGGGUUAUGAAAAAAAAUAAAGAGAAAAAGGAGAUAACGGGUGGGAGGAUAGGGGAGUUGUUUCCAAUAGAGAGGUCAGGUAAGGCCUUAAUGACA
rnacentral:lncRNA from 10 species